AGGACCGGGCACAGCACCGUGACUCAAGGGCUGGCCCGAGGCCUGGCAGCAGGCACGCUCCUGCCUGCCCCUGCCCGUGGUGCGGCUCAGCGGGCAGGGACGGGAGCACCCUGCACCGCACCGGGUCUCAAAACACUUCCCUCCUGCAUUGCCCCACUGCAAAUGGACCUGCAACUUGGCCAGUCCCUUCACAAUCCCAGCCCGUGGUGUCCCCAGAGCCGGGGCCAUGCCUGACCCCAACCUUGCUGCAGCAGCCUGGAGCCCGGCGCGUCACUGCUCUCAGCACGGAGAUGGAGGCCCGUGCAGGUAUUGAUCCGGGAAGAGGGAGGCGGGAUGCUCCGGAUUCCACUCGAGGUGCCUGUCCUGUCACCAGCUGCACCAGCACAGCCAGGACAGAUGUUCCCUGCAAGCACAACAUUUCCAUUAAGAAAUCACGGGCACAAGUUCACUCACCUGCCCACAGCUGCCUUCCCUGCACCUCGAGCCUUCACAGGUACUGGGAAAAGGACAGACCAAGGGACCCAUCCAGCUUGGGGCAAAGGCCAAGGAUCGAACUGGAUUCCCGCGAAACGGGUCAAGCCAUGGCUGAAUAAAGACAACAAAGAUUCAACGGAUGCAGAUGGACAGGAGGGAGAGAAGUUGUGAGGACUGUUUCAGAUGUAAACCGUGGAUCCUAAUUCAGUGUUAUAGAUGCUCACAGACCUGGUGGUCUAGAAGCCUGUUAGCAAGCAGGUGGUGUACCUUCUGUGGAGAAUGGCAAUUUGAGCAAACAUCAGGAGAGCCAAAAGGGUGAUAUUACACUGAGACAGUCAAUGCAAAAAUGAGGUAAAAUUAUGGGACGUUCCUACCAUAGUAUGUACUGCACUCCUUCUCCCUUGUGUAGCAGCUGGUCAGGCUUUAGGAGACAUAUCAAAGUUAAGCUAUUGGUCUUUUAAACAGGCUAAUGUAACUUCUGAGAUGCUAACUCAGUUAAUAGUAGCAGUUGAUGCUAUUAGGCUUACUACUCUACAAAAUCACGCAGUUAUAGAUCUCUUACUUUUAACACUAGGUCAUGGUUGUGAAGAAUUUGAGAGAAUGUGUUGUAUUCACUUGUCUGAUCCUUCGGAAUCUAUUCAUAGUAUUUUAGACAAACUAAACCAGCACAUUACUAAGAUUGUCAUAGUAGAAGUAGGGUUUGACAAAGGGUUUAAAAGCCUGGGAAUAGGUGGGUAGUUGUUUGAUCUUAUUAGGUAAGGCUCAACUGCAUUAUAUGUAAUUGUAAUUAUGUUGUUAAUGAUGUGAUUGUAUGUUGCAGUGUAUUUCAAAGAUGAUUCAGCGUGUUGUAAACAAGGCCUGGCUGGUUCAAGAACAAAAAGGGGGAGCUGUGGGAGAUUUGAGGGAUUUUCUUGAAGUGGGUUUCUAUUAGAUGGAGAUUUGUUAUUAAACUAGUCAAGCGCAAAAGAAUUUCAAGGCCACCUUGGAAAGCUGAAAACACGAUGUGAAUCAACAGACCUAUUAGCAGUGAGACUCGGGCGCGUGGACAGCUCGGGAACACGGACAAUAUCCAAUCAGCUAAUGCACGCGUGGAGCGUGGACGUGUGAUCAGGAAAGAACUGCAUAUAUAAGGAGGCUUGUUUCUGUAAUAAAUGGCUUCGCUUCAAUUCA